rnacentral:rRNA from 1 species
CCUACGGGAGACAGCAGUGAGGAAUAUUGGUCAAUGGGCGAGAGCCUGAACCAGCCAAGUCGCGUGAGGGAGUACUGCCCUAUGGGUUGUAAACCUCUUUUGUCGGGGAGCAAAAGCCGGACGUGUCCGGCUGUGAGAGUACCCGAAGAAAAAGCAUCGGCUAACUCCGUGCCAGCAGCCGCGGUAAUACGGAGGAUGCGGGCGUUAUCCGGGUUUAUUGGGUUUAAAGGGUGCGCAGGCGGAUUUUAAAGUCAGCGGUAAAAGCGUGGGGGUAAACCCCAGCCAGCCGUUGAAACUGGGGAACUAGAGAGUGCGAGAGGUAUGCGGAAUGCGUGGUGUAGCGGUGAAAUGCAUAGAGAUCACACAGAACCCCGAUUGCGAAGGCAGCAUACCGGUGCACAACUGACGCUCAGGCACGAAAGCGUGGGUAUCGAACAGGAUUAGAUACCCCUGUAGUC